GCCCCAGACUCCUACGGGAGGCAGCAGUGAGGAAUAUUGGUCAAUGGGCGCGAGCCUGAACCAGCCAAGUAGCGUGAAGGAUGACUGCCCUACGGGUUGUAAACUUCUUUUAUAAAGGAAUAAAGUGAGGCACGUGUGCCUUUUUGUAUGUACUUUAUGAAUAAGGAUCGGCUAACUCCGUGCCAGCAGCCGCGGUAAUACGGAGGAUCCGAGCGUUAUCCGGAUUUAUUGGGUUUAAAGGGUGCGUAGGUGGUUAAUUAAGUCAGCGGUGAAAGUUUGUGGCUCAACCAUAAAAUUGCCGUUGAAACUGGUUGACUUGAGUAUAUUUGAGGUAGGCGGAAUGCGUGGUGUAGCGGUGAAAUGCAUAGAUAUCGCGCAGAACUCCGAUUGCGAAGGCAGCAUGCCGGCUCCACACUGACGCUGAGGCACGAAAGCGUGGGUAUCGAACAGGAUUAGAUACCCUGGUA
rnacentral:rRNA from 1 species